rnacentral:rRNA from 1 species
UGGUGGCGACCGGCGCACGGGUGAGUAACGCGUAUGCAACCUACCUAUCAAAGGGGAAUAACCCGGCGAAAGUCGGACUAAUACCGCAUAAAACAGGGGCACCGCAUGGUGAUAUUUGUUAAAGAAAUUCGCUGAUAGAUGGGCAUGCGUUCCAUUAGGUAGUUGGUGAGGUAACGGCUCACCAAGCCGACGAUGGAUAGGGGAACUGAGAGGUUGGUCCCCCACACUGGUACUGAGACACGGACCAGACUCCUACGGGAGGCAGCAGUGAGGAAUAUUGGUCAAUGGGCGAGAGCCUGAACCAGCCAAGUCGCGUGAAGGAAGAAGGAUCUAUGGUUCGUAAACUUCUUUUGCAGGGGAAUAAAGUGCAGGACGUGUCCUGUUUUGUAUGUACCCUGAGAAUAAGGAUCGGCUAACUCCGUGCCAGCAGCCGCGGUAAUACGGAGGAUCCGAGCGUUAUCCGGAUUUAUUGGGUUUAAAGGGUGCGUAGGUGGUUUGAUAAGUCAGCGGUGAAAGUUUGCAGCUUAACUGUAAAAAUGCCGUUGAAACUGUCGGACUUGAGUGUAAAUGAGGUAGGCGGAAUGCGUGGUGUAGCGGUGAAAUGCAUAGAUAUCACGCAGAACUCCGAUUGCGAAGGCAGCUUACUAAGCUACAACUGACACUGAAGCACGAAAGCGUGGGGAUCAAACAGGAUUAGAUACCCUGGUAGUCCACGCAGUAAACGAUGAUUACUAGCUGUUUGCGAUACACAGUAAGCGGCACAGCGAAAGCGUUAAGUAAUCCACCUGGGGAGUACGCCGGCAACGGUGAAACUCAAAGGAAUUGACGGGGGCCCGCACAAGC